UCCCUGGUGGUCCAGCAGUUAGGACCCUGCACUUCCAAUGCAGGGGGAAUGGGUUUGAUCCCUCACUGGGAA
rnacentral:tRNA from 1 species